rnacentral:rRNA from 1 species
GCAGCGUGCGGCUGACGGGGCGGUUAAUUUCGUCAGAUGUAUAAGCCCCGAGCUUAACUUGGGAAUUGCAUCUGAAACUGGUUGGCUAGAGUCUUGUAGAGGGGGGUAGAAUUCCAUGUGUAGCGGUGAAAUGCGUAGAGAUGUGGAGGAAUACCGGUGGCGAAGGCGGCCCCCUGGACAAAGACUGACGCUCAGGUGCGAAAGCGUGGGGAGCAAACAGGAUUAGAUACCCUGGUAGUCCACGCUGUAAACGAUGUCGAUUUAGAGGUUGUGGUCUUGAACCGUGGCUUCUGGAGCUAACGCGUUAAAUCGACCGCCUGGGGAGUACGGCCGCAAGGUUAAAACUCAAAUGAAUUGACGGGGGCCCGCACAAGCGGUGGAGCAUGUGGUUUAAUUCGAUGCAACGCGAAGAACCUUACCUACUCUUGACAUCCAGCGAAUCCUUUAGAGAUAGAGGAGUGCCUUCGGGAACGCUGAGACAGGUGCUGCAUGGGUGUCGUCAGCUCGUGUUGUGAAAUGUUGGGUUAAGUCCCGCAACGAGCGCAACCCUUAUCCUUUGUUGCCAGCACGUAAUGGUGGGAACUCAAAGGAGACUGCCGGUGAUAAACCGGAGGAAGGUGGGGAUGACGUCAAGUCAUCAUGGCCCUUUACGAGUAGGGCUACACACGUGCUACAAUGGCAGAUACAAAGAGAAGCGACCUCGCGAGAGCAAGCGGAUCUCAUAAAGUCUGUCGUCAGUCCGGAUUGUAGUCUGCAACUCGACUCCAUGAAGUCUGGAAUCGCUAGUAAUCGUAGAUCAACAUGCUACGGUGAUACGUUCCCCCCGCGGGUCAUAUAAA